rnacentral:rRNA from 1 species
CCCUUAGAUGUUCUGGGCCGCACGCGUGCUACACUGAGUGGAUCAGCGGGUCAGGUUGCGCGAAAGCGUUUCCUAAUCUUUAAAUCCGCUCGUGAGGGGGAUUGACGGUUGCAAUUUUCUGUCAUGAACGAGGAAUACCUUGUAAGCGCGGGUCAUCAUCCCGCGCUGAAUACGUCCCUGCCCUUUGUACACACCGCCCGUCGCUCCUACCGAUUGAGUGGUCCGGUGAGGCUUUGGGAUCUGAGCGGAAAGAGCGUUUCGCUGUUUCUGCUCGGAAAACUCAGUCGAACCUUAUCAUUUAGAGGAAGGAGAAGUCGUAACA